rnacentral:rRNA from 1 species
CAGCACCUCAAGUGGUCAGGAUGAUUAUUGGGCCUAAAGCAUCCGUAGCCGGCUCUGUAAGUUUUCGGUUAAAUCUGUACGCUCAACGUACAGGCUGCCGGGAAUACUGCAGAGCUAGGGAGUGGGAGAGGUAGACGGUACUCGGUAGGAAGGGGUAAAAUCCUUUGAUCUAUUGAUGACCACCUGUGGCGAAGGCGGUCUACCAGAACACGUCCGACGGUGAGGGAUGAAAGCUGGGGGAGCAAAACGGAUUAGAUACCCGAGUAGUCC